UCUACGGGAGGCAGCAGUAGGGAAUUUUGCGCAAUGGGGGAAACCCUGACGCAGCAACACCGCGUGAAUGUUAAGCCCUUCGGUGUGUAAAGGUCUGUCAAUAGGGACGAAUUUUGACUGUACCUAUAAAGGAAGCACCGGCUAACUCCGUGCCAGCAGCCGCGGUAAUACGGGGGGUGCAAGCGUUUUCCGGAAUCAUUGGGCGUAAAGCGUUCGUCGGAGGUAGGGCAAGUCUGGAGUUAAAGCCCGGGGCUCAACUCCGGUUCGGCAUUGGAUACUGGCAAACUAGAGUGUGGUAGAGGUAAAGGGAAUGCCUGGUGUAGCGGUGAAAUGCGUAGAUAUCAGGAGGAACAUCGGUGGCGAAAGCGCUUUACUGGACCAUUAUUGACGCUGAGGAACGAAAGCCAGGGGAGCAAAUGGGAUUAGAUACCCCUGUAGUC
rnacentral:rRNA from 1 species